rnacentral:rRNA from 1 species
CUUCCAGACUCCUACGGGAGGCAGCAGUGGGGAAUAUUGCGCAAUGGGCGAAAGCCUGACGCAGCGACGCCGCGUGAGGGAUGAAGGUCUUCGGAUCGUAAACCUCUGUCAGCAGGGAAGAACGGUCACUGUGCUAAUCAGCAGUGAAUUGACGGUACCUGACUAAGAAGCACCGGCUAAAUACGUGCCAGCAGCCGCGGUAAUACGUAUGGUGCAAGCGUUAUCCGGAUUUACUGGGUGUAAAGGGAGCGCAGGCGGCGCGUUAAGCCUGGUGUGAAAGCCCGCGGCCCAACCGCGGGACUGCAUUGGGAACUGGCGCGCUGGAGUGCCGGAGGGGUAGGCGGAAUUCCUAGUGUAGCGGUGAAAUGCGUAGAUAUUAGGAGGAACACCAGUGGCGAAGGCGGCUUACUGGACAGUAACUGACGUUGAGGCUCGAAAGCGUGGGGAGCAAACAGGAUUAGAUACCCUCGUACCG